UGUAAAAUCCGUCCACAUAAAACUAAAGUUGCUAGGGAACGAAUAAAAACAAACGGCCUCUGAGGCCAAAUGAGAAAUGCGUUGAAGCUCUAACAGCUUGUAUUCAGAAUCUUUCUGGUGGACGUUUUUAACCAGAACAAUUCUUCCAUGGUCUGUGAUGCUGUCAGUCCAAAGAUCCAGCCUCGUUAAUCCUGCAAUAUGGCCAAGAAGAAGAAAGGGGGUAAGAAGCACAGGCCGCUUACUCUGAGAGCGGUUCAGAAAUGCGUGGACUUGACAGCGGAUGGCAGACGGAGGCUGGACCUCAGCUACAAAGGCCUCACCACGGUGCCCGCUUGUGUCCAGAAGGUGACGGACGUCAGCGAACUGAAUCUGAGCAGGAACCUGCUGAAGAAGUUGCCACCUUUCAUAGAUCACUUCGACAGCACCGCGGUGUUUGAUCUGCACAGCAACUAUCUGGAGGAGAUCCCUCAAAACAUCAAAAACCUCACAACGCUGACCGUCUUGAACCUGUGCAACAACCGUCUGACGAGCCUUCCCACCGAGAUCGGCAAGCUGAGCAACCUCCACAUCCUGAACCUGGGACUCAACCUGCUGACAACCCUGCCCACCUCCAUCGGCAACCUGAAGGAGCUGCGCUACCUCGGCCUGUCCUACAACCAGCUCACCGCGGUGCCCAGCUGCACCGUCAAGCUGAAGAAGCUGGAGAAGGUCAACCUGGAAGGGAACCCCAUCAAGUACCCGGAGGUGGCCGGAGUCAAGAAGUCGUUGAAAGCGGACCGUUUUCGCGUGGUCAAGGAGAGCCUUCUGUGUAGGAAUUGUCUGGAAAGUUUUCAAAUCGAAAGGGAGAAGCUGGACUCCAUGGACGGCUACGACACCUAGCGGCCGGACGGGGUGGUGGUGGGGAAGGAGUUUGUUGACUUAAAAUGCAUUCGCGCAACUCACAAUGAGCAACUCUCAAUGUUACGAUGGUUCGUCAACUAAAACAAAACUCGACGUACACAAGACGGCUGGAAGAACUCCAAGAGUAAAACAGAAAACCUCCACCCUGCGUCCAACCCUUCCCAUCACUCCGAGCUGCAGAGAAAAGACCCGACUUUGAGACAAGCUCGUCUAUAAAAAGCUAUGUGGUUAUGGCUAAAGAAAAACAGAGUUUCUGGUUGUGGGCUGGCUUUUGCUAUUUGGGUUUUACAAUGUCCUAAUCCCUCUGCUUGCUUUCAUUGUCCGCCAAUCCAGGGUCUGAUAACACCUGAUCAAUUUGAAGAGACAGACCCUGAACCACACCCAGCCUGUAACCCAGUCUCAGUUUUAUACCAAACACCGCCUUUAAUGGCUUUUUAAUUAAAAUCGUUCGUUUAGAGAUGUCUCGUUGUAGCUUCUAGUUUCUAUUGUUGCAUCUUGUGAGACCCCGUCUGUUAGUUUGACUCCAUUUAGCUUUGGACUGGGUCUGCUUCGUUUUGCCAGCUUGUUAUCUUUGCUGUGUGUGUAGAUGGUUGGAUGUAAAGUGUGGGCACACGCUCCCCCUCUGGGUCUUUCUCCCUCUUUACUCUGUAAUAAGAGCAGCUGUGGCUUACGCGAGGCCAGCUCUGAUUCGAUUGCAGUGAAACUAAGGCCAUUAUCCUUUGUACGCCGGAGGAGGGCCAAGCAGCUGCGACAAGAGCAGCGGCAAACGGCAGGCUUCAAGGUUUCCUUCGAGAAGACGGCAGAGAGUGGAAAAAUUUCACAGAUUAGCCUCCUAACAAGCAAAGAAAGGAACAUUUUACAAUUGAUACCGUGGCCAAAUCCAAUCAAAUUGCCCUUAGAGCAAACAGAAAUAAGCUACAAAGGUGAUUCUCAAACAAAUAUUAAUUUGUGGCUGAUGUCAAAAACUAACCUUGUCUCAAAAAUAUAUAUAUUUUUGUUUAUACAUAAGAGAUUUUAAAAAAAUUGAAGGAAUUGCCAUUACAGAUGCAAAAUUUUUGCUCAAUUUUAUGUCCAAAUAAAGCAAAACCUACUUUAGAUAAAAUUUUCAGAUUGCUCUACCAAACUAAUUAGUCUGUGUUUCAGGACUGGUGAGAUUACACUGAUCAUAAUCUGAAUUACCGAUCAUCAAAAGCUAUCUCAGUAGAUAACUGGUCUGUGAUAAUGGCCGCCAUUCAGACAGCAAACUGUAAGACAUGGAGUGCUGCAAGGCAGCUGUCUUGGUCCAAUUAUAUAUGCAAUAUUAACACUCCUGUACUUCUCUCUGAUGGUAAAUCAUUUGUGAGUUGAUUUCAUGGUAAAAAUGGUCGUAGGGUGAUGACUGGUCGGCUGCACGAUCAGACAAGGAUGCAAACCAAACUUUUUAUUGUAAAUCUUUUGAUGAAGACGGCGAUGGGAAGCAGCUUCAAUCAAAAGGACUGGCAUCCAUUGAUGUCUUUGCAGAUUUGCAGCGACCGCUUUUUUUUCUUCUUUUUUUUAAAGGCAAGAGAAAUGUUCAUAUACUUCAUAUGCAAGUAAGUUUAGUAAGAUGUAAUCAAAUAUUGCAUUAUAGAGAAGGUGUGUGUCAGUGUACCAAUUCUGUAUUAAAGAUAUUUUUUGUUGGUUAGCACUGAGACAAGGCCCUGCCAUCAUGCCAUCUACUAUAUACGAAAAAAACUUGUAAGCAUCUAGACUUUUUUACACUUUCAAGUCUGCUCUGGUCUAAGGGGAAAUGCCUUUUAUGAUUUAGUGGUGUACAUGUAUUGUGAAUUUAGGAAGAUUUGAUCAAAUCAACAAACACUUCAGGGGUAGAAGUUCUGGUCGGUUUGUAAGCUAGCUAGUUCCAACAUUUGUAAAUACCGCGGUCUAUGAACCCAACCUGCGUAUGCUACUUCCAAAGACAAAUUAGCUAGACUUAAGUAGAAGACAUGGCGAUACUGGCAAAGACAGCAUGGAAAAACAAUCACAGUUCAAUUCCCCUGUUCCUCAUUUCUGACGUCUGUCAUAUCGCCUUGACAACAGCUUUUAUAUUUGUCUGCUUUUUGAAACUGCUUCACUAUUCUACCAUUCCAACUAAAAGUACUUUCCAUUUUUCCAUUUUCAGUAUGCCCCUUAUUCCAGCUUAGCACCAAGAAUGUGACAGUCGUUCUCCACAUCAUGGACAUCCGUCUAUCUGGCGGCUCUUGAAACUCUCGACUCCUGCUGCGGCUCACGCCUCGUAAAUCUUCCCCAAACUCAUAAAUAUGCUUUGGUUCCCAGAUCUCUCAAGGCCGUCAUUAUCAAGUUACUUGGGAAAAAAACUUACUGCAUUUUUGCCUUCCACUCAACUUCCCAACUGUAGGUUUGAAUGCAGCAUUCAGCAAACGUCCAGCUUCUUUAUCCAGAACACGUCCAAGUGUUUGACUGAUGCAACUCAUAAGGACUCUUCCUCCUGAC